GAACGGCCACAUUGGGAAUGAUACUCGGCCCAGAAUCAUACGGGAGGCAGCAGUGGGGAAUAUUGGCCAAUGGGAGGAAUCCUGACCCAGCAAAGACAGCCGAAGGAAUAAGGCAUUCGGGUUGUAAACUUCUUUUAUUAGGGACGAAGGAUGUGACGGUACUUAAUGAAUAAUCCACAUCUAACUACGUGCCAGCAGCAGCGGUAAUAAGUAGGUGGCAAGCGUUGUCCGGAUUUAUUGGGUGUAAAGGGGGGGUAGGCGGGAAUGCAAGUCAGAUGUGAAAUCCAUGGGCUCAACCCAUGAACUGCAUUCGAAACUGUGUUUCUUGAGUGAUGGAGAGGCAGGCGGAAUUCUUAGUGUAGCGGUGAAAUGAGUAGAUAUUAGGACGAACACCAGUGGUGAAGGCGGCAUGUUGGUCAUCAACCAACGCUGAUGCGGCAAAGAGCGGGGGGCAAACAACAUUAGAUACCCCCGUAGUCCUCCCCGCAAACGAUGAAUAUCAGGUGUGGGGGGA
rnacentral:rRNA from 1 species